GUGCGAGGAGGGAAGAGGCGACGAGGCUCAGUGAUGCGAGUCCGGGAGGAGGCAGUCCAGCGGGGAGGAGUCGAGGGCGACGGGGCGGCGGCCGAUCCGGCGAAGACGGUGAGGGGGGCUCCGGCGGCGGUCCAGCGGUGUCGGAGGUGGUGGCGGUGACGGCGCACGACGGGUCGGGGGCGUCAGUUGCCCCCGAUCUAGAUCCACUCGGGACGGGGCCGACGGUCGUGCAGGUCACGCGGGGGUUGAGCCCCCCCCCCUAGUGGGCGUCGCGUGGGUGCGGUGGGGAAGGCGGCGCUGGGAGGGAGACGAGGGGAGAGGGUUCGAUCCCGAUCCAGGGGAAUCG
rnacentral:rRNA from 1 species